CACAAAACAAAAAAACCUUCCUCCAACCACACGCCCAUAUUUUGCUCCAUUGCUGUUUAUUUCACACCUCAAACAUUUAGUGAACAAUUAAGCAAAUACAAGUAAUCUGCAGGAAGUAAUAACAUAAACUACUAACUCUGUCACGCUGCGUCCGCACCUACACGGGUGAUUUUGAACACGCAGCUGUUUCGUCCACGUAAACGAUAUUUCGAUUCACCGAAAACAGAUUUUUUAAAACUCCUUUUUUUGCGUUUCCGUGUGGACGAGGAAUACAGAGUUCGUCACGCAGCGUCAAAGCCCAGCGCUGCUCCUGAAGAAGGGGAACCUGCAGGGAGACCUACCUCAGCACCUGUGCAGAUGUUUCCCUUGAGGAGUCUCAUUCAUGGCUUUUAACCAGGAGCUCAGUGCAACAUUUACUUUCACCUCAUGUCAACAUGUGAUGGAGUGCCAUACAAAUCUUUCUGAUGAGGUCUUUCAGGUCCUGGACAUGAUACAGUUUAUCUGUUGAAGAUGAAGUUUUUGAGGCCUGUCAAUUCUUUCUCUUCUCUUUUUCUCCAGUUUCCUUCAAAUAUUUUAA
ensembl:lncRNA